rnacentral:misc_RNA from 1 species
UGUAGAUAGGAGGAAGGAACAUAGCUGGGGUGGAAAAAACAACCGCUGCUCAUCUCCCGCGUUGGAGCUGCUACGAAUCCAAACUUAAUUCAGAACCACAGAUAAAGAAUCAAGCGUUGAUCUCCGCAUCACACUGCUGCUCCCUGUGACAGCUUCUUCGGCUCCAGAACAUGCCUGAGCAACUGGCCCGGUCUAGAUCCCCCUCCCCCCUCUUGUCCAGCUCCAUGCUUGCGCUGUGCGAGGGCCGGGGAGACUGGAACUCGGGACCAUCCUGCACGUCUGUAUCGCCGCAUGGAUCGUCGUCGCUGCACCUGCAGGUUGGGAGGGCGGACGACGGGAAUGGGCUGCAGGUGAUUGGACAGACCAGCUCCGAAGAGACAGCUGCCACACGGUUCCGUCUGAUUUCAGCUUUGGAGAAAGUGGCUGGCGAGUCCAUGGACCGGGCGUUCAGUAUGCAUGGGUUGCAGAAUGUGAGCGCUGAACCUGAUUUAAGCCCUUCUGUUGGUGUGCUUGGUAACUUGGUGAAAGACAUUAUGCCGUUCCGACAAAGAGGGCACGGGAUGGACCCAGGUGGGCCUGUGAACUCGACACGGAUGUUGCUG